UUUUAAUAGGAGUGGUGAGAAAUUUUAUUUUUUAAGUUAUUAACUUUUUAGUACACAUAUCUCACAAUUUGUGUAGUAACACGUGGUAUACCACCCCGUGUACCGGUCACACCGAAAAAUCUCUCCUCUGUGCGGCUUAGACUAUAAUUAGAACAUUUCUGCUAUUGGUUCUCACUUUCGGUGUUUUGAUUUUUUCGUAGUGAAGGUGCCUAAGGAAAGGGUCAAGGAUAAGGAUGAGUGAGCAGAGAAUCCAAGCCUUUGUGACUUAUAUUCAAAUAUCUGCAAUGUGUCCGGCGGUAGACUGGUAAUAGUUUCAUGAUUAUUCAUUGAUGGUGUUAUUCUUUAUUUCAUAUCUGUUAUUUUUAAAGUUCUCCUUCUCUUUACCGGUUUUCAGGUUUUACUUGUGGAAUAAUAAAUGACAAGGAGCUUGAGGUACCUCAUAACUUUUUUUCAUUUAUAGUAUGCAUAUUUUUUAACAUGCCUUUGCAUUUGUUUAUUAUAAGUGUUCUCAUUGUCACAGAAUUACUCAUUGUUAAUAGUCCCUCUACUACUGUCUCCUUUAAAUUUUAUAACUUGUUGAUUUGGGCAGUUACUUGUGCAUUUGCCUUAAAGGAUUUAUUUUUGCAGACCUGAUUGGCUUUAGCUCUGUUGGGGAGUUUUUCUGUACCACUUUCACUGGGAGGAAAAAUGGCUGCCAUGAAAUUGUGAUCUAAAAUUGAUGCUUUCCAUAGACAAGGAUAUGAGACAAGGACAGGCCUGGCAAGCAACCUAUCAUCUUUAAUUUGACAUUUGUUUUCACAGAUACACACAUAUAUAUUCUUUGAAUUGUUCUGAUAUUGGUAUCCUAAUUAAACUUGUGGUUGUGUGGUUUUGGUGUAGUGAGAUAUGAGGAGUGAUCAAGGAGCUACAUAAACUGUAGCAAGCUGCAUGAAGUAGUGAGAUACAUGAAGGAGCUAUAUGAAUGAGUGAUGAAAAAGCUAUAUGAAGGAGUGAUUAAGGAGCUACAUACACUGUAUGUACAAAAGGGAAGAUGCUUUUACCUACACGUCUUCAAAAGAAUUCAAGUUUGCAUUUUCGAAGUUUUAGGACUAGUGUUAAUAUGUUCAAACACAUAUCUUAGGUUUGUAAUAAAUGUAUUGGCUUUACCAUAUUGAUCUUAUAUACAUUAGUUUUUAUUAAUGAUAAUACAAAAUAUUCUUUAAACAAUGCUCAGUGAAAUUUUUACCAAAAAGCAUAUAUUUCUUGCCUCAAUUUCCAUUGGAAAUGUCUAUUAUUAUUUUUUUUCUGAUGAAAAUAAUAUUUGUGACACACUAUAGUAGCAGUUAAGGGUUGAAAAUUGUAAUUGCAACGAUUGUGUACUCACAAAUAAAAGUUAUUUUGUUGGAAAAAAAUUUCUGACACAAUUAUUUGGUCAGAACAACAUCAUCGCAAAAAACAUGUCUUUUGGAAAGUAAUUUCGACAACUAUAUAAUUAUUUACUACCACAUUUCCAUGUCAAAAAUAAAAUAAGUUUGUCAUUUUGAAAAUUCAUUUCCGAUGAAAAGCUAACUACUAACGACAAGUCUUGUGCGUCGAUAAUAAAGUAUU
rnacentral:lncRNA from 1 species